rnacentral:rRNA from 1 species
AGUGAACGCUGGCGGUAGGCCUAACACAUGCAAGUCGAACGGCAGCACAGGAGGGCUUGCUCUCUGGGUGGCGAGUGGCGGACGGGUGAGGAAUACAUCGGAAUCUACUCUGUCGUGGGGGAUAACGUAGGGAAACUUACGCUAAUACCGCAUACGACCUACGGGUGAAAGCAGGGGACCUUCGGGCCUUGCGCGAUUGAAUGAGCCGAUGUCUGAUUAGCUAGUUGGCGGGGUAAAGGCCCACCAAGGCGACGAUCCGUAGCUGGUCUGAGAGGAUGAUCAGCCACACUGGAACUGAGACACGGUCCAGACUCCUACGGGAGGCAGCAGUGGGGAAUAUUGGACAAUGGGCGCAAGCCUGAUCCAGCCAUACCGCGUGGGUGAAGAAGGCCUUCGGGUUGUAAAGCCCUUUUGUUGGGAAAGAAAUCCAGCUGGCUAAUACCCGGUUGGGAUGACGGUACCCAAAGAAUAAGCACCGGCUAACUUCGUGCCAGCCGCCGCGGUAA